AGCAAUACAAUGGUGGCGACCGGCGCACGGGUGAGUAACACGUAUGCAACCUACCUGUAAGAGGGGAAUAACCCGGAGAAAUUCGGAUUAAUACCGCAUAAUACUGCGAGACCGCAUGGUUUUGCAUUUAAACAUUUAUGGCUUACAGAUGGGCAUGCGUAUGAUUAGAUAGUUGGUAGGGUAACGGCCUACCAAGUCAACGAUCAUUAGGGGUUCUGAGAGGAAGGUCCCCCACACUGGUACUGAGACACGGACCAGACUCCUACGGGAGGCAGCAGUGAGGAAUAUUGGUCAAUGGGCGAGAGCCUGAACCAGCCAAGUCGCGUGAAGGAUGACUGCCCUAUGGGUUGUAAACUUCUUUUGCAGGGGAAUAAAACAAAGUACGUGUACUUAAUUGUAUGUACUCUGCGAAUAAGGAUCGGCUAACUCCGUGCCAGCAGCCGCGGUAAUACGGAGGAUCCGAGCGUUAUCCGGAUUUAUUGGGUUUAAAGGGUGCGUAGGCGGACCUUUAAGUCAGUGGUGAAAGUUUGCGGCUCAACCGUAAAAUUGCCAUUGAAACUGAAGGUCUUGAGUGUAAAUGAGGUAGGCGGAAUGUGUUGUGUAGCGGUGAAAUGCUUAGAUAUAACACAGAACACCGAUUGCGAAGGCAGCUUACUGGGAUACAACUGACGCUGAGGCACGAAAGCGUGGGGAUCAAACAGGAUUAGAUACCCUGGUAGUCCACGCAGUAAACGAUGAAUACUAACUGUAUGCGAUAUACUGUAUGCGGUACAGCGAAAGCGUUAAGUAUUCCACCUGGGGAGUACGUUCGCAAGAAUGAAACUCAAAGGAAUUGACGGGGGCCCGCACAAGCGGAGGAACAUGUGGUUUAAUUC
rnacentral:rRNA from 1 species